rnacentral:rRNA from 1 species
UUUGAACUGAAGAGUUUGAUCAUGGCUCAGAUUGAACGCUGGCGGCAGGCCUAACACAUGCAAGUCGAGCGGUAGAGAGAAGCUUGCUUCUCUUGAGAGCGGCGGACGGGUGAGUAAAGCCUAGGAAUCUGCCUGGUAGUGGGGGAUAACGUUCGGAAACGGACGCUAAUACCGCAUACGUCCUACGGGAGAAAGCAGGGGACCUUCGGGCCUUGCGCUAUCAGAUGAGCCUAGGUCGGAUUAGCUAGUUGGUGAGGUAAUGGCUCACCAAGGCGACGAUCCGUAACUGGUCUGAGAGGAUGAUCAGUCACACUGGAACUGAGACACGGUCCAGACUCCUACGGGAGGCAGCAGUGGGGAAUAUUGGACAAUGGGCGAAAGCCUGAUCCAGCCAUGCCGCGUGUGUGAAGAAGGUCUUCGGAUUGUAAAGCACUUUAAGUUGGGAGGAAGGGCAUUAACCUAAUACGUUAGUGUUUUGACGUUACCGACAGAAUAAGCACCGGCUAACUCUGUGCCAGCAGCCGCGGUAAUACAGAGGGUGCAAGCGUUAAUCGGAAUUACUGGGCGUAAAGCGCGCGUAGGUGGUUUGUUAAGUUGGAUGUGAAAUCCCCGGGCUCAACCUGGGAACUGCAUUCAAAACUGACUGACUAGAGUGUGGUAGAGGGUGGUGGAAUUUCCUGUGUAGCGGUGAAAUGCGUAGAUAUAGGAAGGAACACCAGUGGCGAAGGCGACCACCUGGACCAACACUGACACUGAGGUGCGAAAGCGUGGGGAGCAAACAGGAUUAGAUACCCUGGUAGUCCACGCCGUAAACGAUGUCAACUAGCCGUUGGAA